UACAGAGGGUGCGAGCGUUAAUCGGAUUUACUGGGCGUAAAGCGUGCGUAGGCGGCUUUUUAAGUCGGAUGUGAAAUCCCUGAGCUUAACUUAGGAAUUGCAUUCGAUACUGGGAAGCUAGAGUAUGGGAGAGGAUGGUAGAAUUCCAGGUGUAGCGGUGAAAUGCGUAGAGAUCUGGAGGAAUACCGAUGGCGAAGGCAGCCAUCUGGCCUAAUACUGACGCUGAGGUACGAAAGCAUGGGGAGCAAACAGGAUUAGAUACCCUGGUAGUCAAGGGCGAAUUCG
rnacentral:rRNA from 1 species